GCUUAUACAUGCAAGUCGAGCGGGGGAAGGUAGCUUGCUACCGGACCUAGCGGCGGACGGGUGAGUAAUGCUUAGGAAUCUGCCUAUUAGUGGGGGACAACAUCUCGAAAGGGAUGCUAAUACCGCAUACGUCCUACGGGAGAAAGCAGGGGAUCUUCGGACCUUGCGCUAAUAGAUGAGCCUAAGUCGGAUUAGCUAGUUGGUGGGGUAAAGGCCUACCAAGGCGACGAUCUGUAGCGGGUCUGAGAGGAUGAUCCGCCACACUGGGACUGAGACACGGCCCAGACUCCUACGGGAGGCAGCAGUGGGGAAUAUUGGACAAUGGGGGGAACCCUGAUCCAGCCAUGCCGCGUGUGUGAAGAAGGCCUUAUGGUUGUAAAGCACUUUAAGCGAGGAGGAGGCUACUUUAGUUAAUACCUAGGGAUAGUGGACGUUACUCGCAGAAUAAGCACCGGCUAACUCUGUGCCAGCAGCCGCGGUAAUACAGAGGGUGCGAGCGUUAAUCGGAUUUACUGGGCGUAAAGCGUGCGUAGGCGGCUUAUUAAGUCGGAUGUGAAAUCCCCGAGCUUAACUUGGGAAUUGCAUUCGAUACUGGUGAGCUAGAGUAUGGGAGAGGAUGGUAGAAUUCCAGGUGUAGCGGUGAAAUGCGUAGAGAUCUGGAGGAAUACCGAUGGCGAAGGCAGCCAUCUGGCCUAAUACUGACGCUGAGGUACGAAAGCAUGGGGAGCAAACAGGAUUAGAUACCCUGGUAGUCCAUGCCGUAAACGAUGUCUACUAGCCGUUGGGGCCUUUGAGGCU
rnacentral:rRNA from 2 species